rnacentral:rRNA from 1 species
GGUUAGUAGGUUGGUCAUGCCUCUGGUAUGUACUGGUCUCACUGAUUCCUCCUUCCUGAUGAACCGUAAUGCCAUUAAUUUGGUGUUGCGGGGAAUUUGGACUGUUACUUUGAAAAAAUUAGAGUGUUUAAAGCAAGCUAACGCUUGAAUACAUUAGCAUGGAAUAAUGAAAUAGGACGUUCGAUCCUAUUUUGUUGGUUUCUAGGAUUGACGUA